rnacentral:rRNA from 1 species
GACGAACGCUGGCGGCGUGCUUAACACAUGCAAGUCGAACGGAAAGGCCCUGCUUUUGUGGGGUGCUCGAGUGGCGAACGGGUGAGUAACACGUGAGUAACCUGCCCUUGACUUUGGGAUAACUUCAGGAAACUGGUGCUAAUACCGGAUAGGAGCUCCUGCUGCAUGGUGGUGGUUGGAAAGUUUCGGCGGUUGGGGAUGGACUCGCGGCUUAUCAGCUUGUUGGUGGGGUAGUGGCUUACCAAGGCUUUGACGGGUAGCCGGCCUGAGAGGGUGACCGGCCACAUUGGGACUGAGAUACGGCACAGAAUCCUACGGGAGGCAGUGGUGGAGAAUAUUGUACAAUGGCCGGGAGGCUGAUGAAGCAACGCAGCGUGCGGGAUGACGGGCUUCGAGUUGUAAACCGAUGCCGCAGGUGACGAAGAGUGAGUGACGGUAAUGGAUAAAGAAGCACCGGCUAACUACGUG